rnacentral:rRNA from 1 species
GACGAACGCUGGCGGCGUGCUUAACACAUGCAAGUCGAACGGAAAGGCCCAGCUUGCUGGGUACACGAGUGGCGAACGGGUGAGUAACACGUGGGUGAUCUGCCCUGCACUACGGGAUAAGCCUGGGAAACUGGGUCUAAUACCGGAUAGGACCUCGCACUUCACGGUGUGUGGGGGAAAGCUUUUGCGGUGUGGGAUGGGCCCGCGGCCUAUCAGCUUGUUGGUGGGUAAUGGCCUACCAAGGCGACGACGGGUAGCCGGCCUGGGAGGGUGACCGGCCACACUGGGACUGAGAUACGGCCCAGACUCCUACGGGAGGCAGCAGUGGGGAAUAUUGCACAAUGGGCGCAGGCCUGAUGCAGCGACGCCGCGAGAGGGAUGACGGCCUUCGGGUUGUAAACCUCUUUCAGUAGGGACGAAGCGCAAGUGACGGUACCUACAGAAGAAGGACCGGCCAACUACGUGCCAGCAGCCGCCGUAAUAC